CUUUGCCUGUAAUGGUGGCUGUUGUAGAGAAGCUUGGAGGUGCAUUUGGUGAGUCUGGUUUGCUGGUUCUUCCUUGUGUUGCAGCACAUUUGAACCAGGUGUUUAUGUGUUGAGACGAACUUCAAAGAAACUUUUGUGGCAAUAGUUUGUAAGAGAAGAAAAGUUUCAAAAAGGAAGAUAUAUAGGCUCUUAUUACCAACUUUGGACAUCAUGUUUGAUAAAAGUUGGUUACAGUUCAACAGAGCCUCAGAUGAGUAUAAGCAA